UGUUGUUGAAGUUAUUUGCAGUGGGCAAAAUUUGAAAUAACACCUUAUGCAGUGCUAGGUCAUUUUGUACCUUCAUUCAAGUUACCUUCAAUGCUCAGUUUCCUUCCAUUCAUUUUUUAUUCUAAUUACUCUUUCAGUGUAUGAUAACAGAUGCCAGACAUGACUGCAUUCUACAGUGACAGCUAUUUCUAUGAACAUACAACUUAACAGAGGUGGCCCAUGACUGUGUCAAAUCAUUGAUAAAUUGGUUUGAACAAAGAGGCAUCAAGAAUUCCUUUGACACCUGGCAUGAGAUGAUAUAGCUUUGGUCUUGGAAUGAGUUUAUUGAUGAUCAAGGAUGGUUCAAGGCAAAGUAUUAUUUCAGUUGCUUUUCCAUUUUCUGUUGAAAUGACUCCUUUUUUCAGUUGAUGAUGCUCAUUCAAUUCUCUUGAA